GGGGGGAUGGCGGAACCGGUAGACGCAGGAGACUUAAAAUCUCCCGGCUGUGAGGCCGUGCGGGUUCGAGCCCCGCUCUCCCCACCA
rnacentral:tRNA from 1 species